rnacentral:rRNA from 1 species
GGCAGGCGACCACGGUAGGGUCAGCGACUGGGGUGAAGUCGUAACAAGGUAGCCGUAGGGGAACCUGCGGCUGGAUCACCUCCUUUCUAAGGA